rnacentral:rRNA from 1 species
GUCUCACCACGCGAGUGUGAACCCCCCGAGGCCGGUGGAGUAGCCUUUUAGGAGCUAGCCGUCGAAGGUGGGACAAAUGAUUGGGGUGAAGUCGUAACAAGGUAGCCGUAUCGGAAGGUGCGGCUGGAUCACCUCCUUUCUAAGGA